UACGGGGGGAGCAAGCGUUGUUCGGAUUUACUGGGCGUAAAGGGCGCGUAGGCGGUCGUGACAAGUCACUUGUGAAAUCUCCGGGCUUAACUCGGAACGGUCAAGUGAUACUGUCGGACUAGAGUACAGAAGGGGGCAACUGGAAUUCUCGGUGUAGCGGUGAAAAUGCGUAGAUAUCGAGAGGAACACCUGCGGCGAAAGGCGGGUUGCUGGGCUGAUACUGACGCUGAGGCGCGAAAGCCAGGGAGGCGAACGGG
rnacentral:rRNA from 1 species